UACAUCAUGGGGCUGGAUGUGUUCCACCAAAUGGUCACCAUUGGAGUUCUUGGAAUAAGAUGGAAAGGUGGAUAAAGAAAUCUGGGUGGCAGCAAUAAGCUUUGGAACUGGAGGCUGUGCACAGUGGAGCGAAAAGCAGUUCCUUUACGCAUAAUCCAAAAAUAGGAUCCAGUUCUCCAGCCAGAUACCUGUGGACUGGUGGAACGUUGCUGAUCUUGGAGAUCUUACUGCUCAGGUUAAUUUUGACCUUGAGGCUAGAUAAAAUGAGAGUUGGUGGAAACCUUGGAAAAGUUA